rnacentral:rRNA from 1 species
GGUUAAGUGACUAAGCGUACACGGUGGAUGCCUAGGCAGUCAGAGGCGAUGAAGGGCGUGCUAAUCUGCGAAAAGUGUCGGUAAGGUGAUAUGAA